rnacentral:rRNA from 1 species
UACAGAGGUCUCAAGCGUUUGUUCGGAUUCAUUGGGCGUAAAGGGUGCGUAGGUGGCGCUGUAAGUCGGGUGUGAAAUCUCGGAGCUUAACUCCGAAACUGCAUUCGAUACUGCCGUGCUUGAGGACUGGAGAGGAGACUGGAAUUUACGGUGUAGCGGUGAAAUGCGUAGAUAUCAGGAGGAACACCGGUGGCGAAGGCGGGUCUCUGGGCCGAUACUGACGCUGGAGGAGCGAAAGCGUGGGGAGCAAACAGG